rnacentral:rRNA from 1 species
UAUUAUUUUAAGUGUUAAUUAGGUUUACCAGGGUAUUAUUAGUUAAGUUCUUUAAACCCAAAGAAUUUGGCGGUAUUUCAUUCCAUUCAGAGGAACCUAUCUCGUUAUUGAUAGUACACGAUUAACUUUACUUAAUUUAUUUGUUUGUAUAUCUCCGUUUUUAGAAAAUCUUUUUAGAGUUAUAAUUUUCUUAAUUUAUAAUUAUAGAAUAUUUCAGGUCAAGGUGCAGCUUAUAAUUAAGAGAAGAUGGGUUACAAUAAAUUUUGAUUUAUAACGGAUUUAAUAUUGAAAUAUUAUUAAUGAAGGUGGAUUUGAUAGUAAUUUAAUAUAUUUAAUUUAAUUGAUAUUGGCUAUGAGGUGUGUACACAUCGCCCC